rnacentral:rRNA from 1 species
GAUGAACGCUGGCGGCGUGCCUAAUACAUGCAAGUCGAGCGAACAGACGAGGAGCUUGCUCCUCUGACGUUAGCGGCGGACGGGUGAGUAACACGUGGAUAACCUACCUAUAAGACUGGGAUAACUUCGGGAAACCGGAGCUAAUACCGGAUAAUAUAUUGAACCGCAUGGUUCAAUAGUGAAAGACGGUUUUGCUGUCACUUAUAGAUGGAUCCGCGCCGCAUUAGCUAGUUGGUAAGGUAACGGCUUACCAAGGCAACGAUGCGUAGCCGACCUGAGAGGGUGAUCGGCCACACUGGAACUGAGACACGGUCCAGACUCCUACGGGAGGCAGCAGUAGGGAAUCUUCCGCAAUGGGCGAAAGCCUGACGGAGCAACGCCGCGUGAGUGAUGAAGGUCUUCGGAUCGGAAAACUCUGUUAUUAGGGAAGAACAAAUGUGUAAGUAACUAUGCACGUCUUGACGGUACCUAAUCAGAAAGCCACGGCUAACUACGUG